GUGAAUCAUCGAAUUUUUGAACACAAAUUGCACUCUCCGCGGUUAGUAUGCCUGUUUGAGUUUCAGCCUAUAAAAUUCGACAUCGUUUCUGUUCCUGGUGGGCGUUCUUCGGAAAUUGUGUCAUGUUAAAUCCUUUUGAUUUAAGCGACUUAAAAUUUUCUUUGUGUUCCAUGAACGUUUCUAUGAUCUAUUUUUUUACACGUUUAAGGUAUCGAUUUUUAUUAGACGUGACCAUCAUAUCGGUUUUCGCCCAUGAUCUUUCAUUAAUUG
rnacentral:misc_RNA from 1 species